rnacentral:rRNA from 1 species
UACAGAGGGUGCAAGCGUUAAUCGGAAUUACUGGGCGUAAAGCGCACGUAGGCGGUUUUUUAAGUCAGAUGUGAAAGCCCCGGGCUCAACCUGGGAAUUGCAUUUGAAACUGGGAAACUAGAGUGUGUGAGAGGGGGGUAGAAUUCCAAGUGUAGCGGUGAAAUGCGUAGAGAUUUGGAGGAAUACCAGUGGCGAAGGCGGCCCCCUGGCACAACACUGACACUGAGGUGCGAAAGCAUGGGGAGCAAACAGG